rnacentral:lncRNA from 1 species
CAAAUGAUGCAACUUUAUCAUUACUCAAAGAUGCUUUCACAGAGAGCUUGCCAUAUAAAACAUCAAAUAUAUGAUUAUAUCAUAUGCAUGCAUUAAUCAAAGCUGAGUUCCCUUAGAAGAUACAAAAUAGGACUAGAAAAAAGAGGAGAAGAACUAUUAUACCGAAUCAUUAUUUAUAAAAAAUAUAAAAGUCAGAGCAUAUGUUUCAGACAAUAAAAAUUGCACACAUAGAAUGAUGUAAAUAACAAGACAUGGAUAUAAAAAGGCGAUUUCUAUGUAGCUAAUUGUUGUAAGGGAUUUGCUGUAGCUUUUUGGGUCAUGCGUGAGUCAUAACAUCAUCGUUUCUUUAACGAUAUUUUAACGGUUUCUGUAACUCUGAUUGAAGUAAAAAUGAUGUAUGGAGCCAAGAAUGUAAAACAGUUUGUAAGCAGAUAAAUAUAUAUAAUUCUAGGUAAAUAAGGAUUAAUAUUUACUGGCUAUCAUCACUCAAUGUAGGAGUCACAUCGUAGGCAUCAAAGAACUCUUCAUCUUCCUCUUCACUCCCAGAACUCAUGCUGACGACGACGACGACGACUAGGGCUUGUUGUGGAAUGAACAAGAGUCAGAGAGCUUCGUUUUGAAUAUUAUUAUGCGAUGAAAAGGUAGGGUGUCACUUAGUUAAAUUAUAUUACAUCUAUCCUCAUCUCUGAUAUUAUUAUAGGCAUUAUUUUAUUCUGAUGUAUUUUUUAAGGGACACUGCUCAAAUUGUUUGAUCCCUAGGCACACUCACUUGUCUUUAAUAAUAUUCAAUCUGACGUCAAGCAUUAUCCAUUUGACAGAUUCAAGGGAUACACCACGCCGCAGCUGACACACUCACUCUGGAUCAUGCGCUCUCUCCAAUAGGAGCGCGCCAUACCCAUCAUGUAGCUACUAAAGAGAGAAGUAAAGAGUAAAGAAGGAGGAUGCCACCACACGCAGCAGGAGGAAGCUCAAACUUACAUCUUCUUUUCCUUUUCGCCCUCUCUCUCUUCUCUUAUUCUUCUUUUCUGUUACGUUAGAGCAGUGGUUCUCAAACUUUAUCAGGUCUGAGCGCACUUAAAAUUACAAUACUUAGGAUACUUGCUGGCGCAUUGUAUACAAAAUAGGACAAAUAUUUAGGAGUAGGUAUGUUAAAGGAUUUCAAAAUUUUAGAUUUGACGAUGAUAAUUAACUUUAAUGGAUGUAACUUUUUCUUCUGAUUUCAAUUAUAUAAAUAUUUCCUAUAUUUAUUCGAUAGGAACUGAAUAAUUUGUUUUUUUCGACAGAAAUUUUGUCUACCUCUUCUCAACUUCUUUGUAUUUAUUUAUAAAAAGAUACCGCAAAUAUAGUGCAUGCCAGUUUCGUAUAACUUUGUCAGAUGAUAGAUGAAAUUUGUGAGAAUAAUAAGUUGGAUUUAAUAAUAAUAUAAAGAAAACGAGAGUUUAAUACCUAUUACUUAUUAGUAAUUUCAACCUUGAAAUUAUUUUCAAAAAAUUAUACUAUCCCCCCCUCAAUCUCCUACUGAGAAUAAAUGGGCGGGGCUUGCAGUUCUUUUAACAUACCCACUAAUAACUUUUAAUUAAAUUUAAUUUAUAGAAAAGUAACACACUUAAUAAAGGCAUAAUGAACAAACGUCUAUGAAGUUUAUUUAUUCCUGUGUUAAUGAGGAACAUAAGCUGAUAAAAGCUUGCGAUUUCUUCGACCCAAUACUUGAGCUAGACAAACGCUCAUUUCCUUAUCAAUACAUGGAAGAAUUCCUCACUCUUUACCGUUAAUUGUGGUGAGGGUUCAAAAUCCCACAUAAAUAUGAGACGAAAAAAAUGCAAUAAAAUACUACAACUAAGCAUAAUAGCUUGCUUGUUAUACCUGGACUGGACAAAAUAAAUGUUAUUUGAUCUACAGAAUACUACAGAGCGCAUCUAAAAAACUGUUGGGCGCACAGUUUGAGAACCACUGAGUUUGUUAUUGCAUUUUAUAGUAAAUGUUAAUUUUCAGUGAACAUAGCAAUGCGUACCAUGUGCUUUUAAGCAGUCAUUCACGUCGUUAUUUAAGGCCCCUAUUUCUACUUGAAUGACGUCAAAAUAAAUAACUUAUGUUCUUGUUGUGUGAUGAAGCCGAAGAUAGUACCUUACUAAUCAUACUUAACUAUAAAAAUAAAUAGAUUAAAUGCUACAAAUAUUAAAAUUCGUUAUCAGUGAACUAAUAAAUUUGUUGUAUUUCCUUA